AUGCCUACUGCUUAUCAUCACUGUUUAGAAGGAAGGAACAAGAGCAGUGAUUAUCCUUUGGAAAAGCAGCAGCCACCUGCUGUGUCUUGUAUGGAUACUGGGAACCCAUCGCUGGUCAGUACACUUUUGCUAUUUCAUGCUGUAGGUUGUUCUCUUAGACACAAAUUAGCUUCUUCAAGGAGCUCAAGGGAAAGCGUCAACAUUUGUUGUAGUUCAACCCUGACUACAAGUGAUUUUGGUCCAUCUAAUUUGGAGUCCCUUCAGCCUCUUUUGCCGUCCUCACAGAUUUCUGCUGCCUUGUACUGUUCGAUCCAGAGGCUGAAGCAAGAAAUUGCUUUCAUGGGAAGCCGGGCCUCCCUUCCUCUGGAGCCCAACUCUUCUCCAGUCAGUGGCAGUUUGUGCUUUGCUCCUGAUGAUCCAGCUCCUAUUAUCCUGAGCACAGGAGAACAGCUAGCUGGAGUAAAAACCAGUGCUGCUCAGGCAAGAUUGAGAUGGAGCAUCCCAUUUGCUAAAGGCACAAGCUUCGGUGCAGUGACAAGGGACUUCGGGCAUGCUGAACCUAUCUCUGUCUCUCACAGAUGCAGAUACAUUGACUCAGGCAUGUGGAGAACCAAACUUUUAGGUGGCAUCCAUCCAGAUAGGCUGUCUUCCGGGGUGGGCUCUGGCAGGCUUGUGGAUCCAGAAGGAGAUUCCUCCAAUGAUUGCCCUCCUUAUUUCAGAUGCCAGUCCCAGGCAAAGCCAACUCUGGAAACUAGUGGUUUUUAUGUUCAUACAAAAAAUCAUUCAUAUGAGAAGGUUCUUAAAGCAGAUGGGACAUCUGGUGAGGCAUCCCUAUGUGCUAUGCCUUGGAAAAAAAGCCUCCCUGAGGGUUUGCACAUGUCACUGGAAACAUGGCUGGCUGGGACGCAGAUGAACGUUGGCGUAUCCAUGUAUGGGACUCCAAGGGAAGUGUGUGUAAGAGUCACUUCUUCUGGAGAUCAAGAGUUUAGGCCAGUACAGAAGCUUAGCAUUAAAUCUGUAGAAGCUGAGAACUCCAAACCUCCUGUUGAAUCCAGCAAAGGCUUAGAAGAGGUGUGUGACUGUAGAUCUCAAGCAGGCAGCAGGAUGGCAGUGGGAGACAGCAGUCAGUCUAGCCCCUCCAGCACUCAGGUUGGAAAAGACACUGGUGACUGUUCCAACAUAGAACACGUGAAUGCAAACAGAGAAGAAAGGAGAAACAAACACUUCCAGCAAAGCAGCUGGAGGAAUUGGGAAGCUCCUGACCACUCUGAAGAACCUUCUUUAGAGAGGAAUGAUAGAGAACCACGGUGCUGUGAAGAAGGAAGCCAGACACAGGAGACUGUGCCCAGUGAGGUGAGGGUGGGCUCACUGUGUAGCAUCCCUAAUAGCAGAUACUGUGCUUGUUUCUACUUUUUGAUAGAGGUGCAAAGUUGA
rnacentral:lncRNA from 1 species